rnacentral:rRNA from 1 species
AACAGGAUUAGAUACCCUGGUAGUCCACGCCCUAAACGAUGUCAACUAGGUGUUGGGUGGGUAAAACCAUUUAGUACCGGAGCUAACGCGUGAAGUUGACCGCCUGGGGAGUACGGCCGCAAGGUUAAAACUCAAAGGAAUUGACGGGGACCCGCACAAGCGGUGGAUGAUGUGGAUUAAUUCGAUGCAACGCGAAAAACCUUACCUACCCUUGACAUGUCCAGAAGCUCUUAGAGAUUUGAGUGUGCCCGAAAGGGAACUGGAACACAGGUGCUGCAUGGCUGUCGUCAGCUCGUGUCGUGAGAUGUUGGGUUAAGUCCCGCAACGAGCGCAACCCUUGUCGUUAAUUGCCAUCAUUUAGUUGGGCACUUUAACGAGACUGCCGGUGACAAACCGGAGGAAGGUGGGGAUGACGUCAAGUCCUCAUGGCCCUUAUGGGUAGGGCUUCACACGUCAUACAAUGGUCGGUACAAAGGGUUGCCAACCCGCGAGGGGGAGCUAAUCCCAGAAAGCCAUCUCAGUUCGGAUUGCACUCUGCGACUCGGGUGCAUGAAGUUGGAAUCGCUAGUAAUCGCGGAUCAGCACGCCGCGGUGAAUACGUUCCCGGGCCUUGUACACACCGCCCGUCACACCAUGGGAGUUGGCUUUACCUGAAGCCGGUGCGCUAACCGCAAGGAGGCAGCCGACCACGGUACGGUCAGCGACUGGGGUGAAGUCGUAACAAGGUAACC